AAGCCAGACUCCUACGGGAGGCAGCAGUGGGGAAUAUUGCACAAUGGGGGGAACCCUGAUGCAGCGACGCCGCGUGGGUGAAGGAGUAUUUCGGUAUGUAAAGCCCUAUCGGCAGGGAAGAAGCAAGACGGUACCUGACUAAGAAGCCCCGGCUAACUACGUGCCAGCAGCCGCGGUAAUACGUAGGGGGCAAGCGUUAUCCGGAUUUACUGGGUGUAAAGGGGGCGCAGACGGCAGCGCAAGCCAGGAGUGAAAGCCCGGGGCCCAACCCCGGGACCGCUCUUGGAACUGCGCGGCUGGAGUGCAGGAGGGGCAGGCGGAAUUCCUGGUGUAGCGGUGAAAUGCGUAGAUAUCAGGAGGAACACCGGUGGCGAAGGCGGCCUGCUGGACUGCGACUGACGUUGAGGCCCGAAAGCGUGGGGAGCAAACAGGAUUAGAUACCCUAGUAC
rnacentral:rRNA from 1 species